UACAGAGGUCCCAAGCGUUGUUCGGAUUCACUGGGCGUAAAGGGUGCGUAGGUGGCCAGGUAAGUUCGGUGUGAAAGCUCGGAGCUUAACUCCGAAAUGGUAUUGAAUACUAUCUGGCUAGAGGGUCGGAGGGGAGACUGGAAUUCUCGGUGUAGCAGUGAAAUGCGUAGAUAUCGAGAGGAACACCAGUGGCGAAGGCGAGUCUCUGGACGACACCUGACACUGAGGCACGAAAGCCAGGGGAGCAAACAGG
rnacentral:rRNA from 1 species